AGCCCCUCUCAUCUGCUGGUGAGGCUUCAACCACUGGCAGACGUGCUCCUCUUCGGGCUGCUUACUGUGCUCCUGCAGCCCAUAAGCGCUUCGGAGGGGUGCAGUUGCUAUGGCAAUGCCUACAGCCAUCUGAAUUCCUGCUGCACCUUCUGGGAGAAAAGAGCUCAUGAAGAGGCAUUCGGUGGAUUCCCAGUCUGGCCUCUGGCCUCUGCACUGUCAGGAGUCAGCUGAUGGGUUACAUGCCGGACACGUGGGAGGAGCACCAGGUCCCGGAGCCCAGCUGUGCAUUAGAUGUUGUCUCUGCAGCACAAGGUAGGAGGCUGCAGGAUGUACCUGAGAAACGCAAUCGCACAAAGCAAUUGUUCAGCACCAAAUAUGGGGGACAGAAGAGUGCUAAGGGGAGAAGACUCCAACCAUAA
ensembl:lncRNA ARNILA androgen receptor negatively regulated lncRNA